UACGAAGGGUGCAAGCGUUACUCGGAAUUACUGGGCGUAAAGCGUGCGUAGGUGGUUUGUUAAGUCUGUUGUGAAAGCCCCGGGCUCAACCUGGGAAUGGCAAUGGAUACUGGCAAGCUAGAGUGCGGUAGAGGGUAGUGGAAUUCCCCGGUGUAGCGGUGAAAUGCGUAGAGAUCGGGAGGAACACCAGUGGCGAAGGCGGCUACCUGGACCGAGCACUGACACUGAG
rnacentral:rRNA from 1 species